rnacentral:rRNA from 1 species
GGUGAACGCUGGCGGCGUGCUUAACACAUGCAAGUCGAACGGAAACACUCCUACUUGCAGCGGUACUCGAUGGGCGAACGGGUGAGGAACAGGUAGGUGAUCUGCCCUGCACUUCGGGAGAGGCCUGCGAAACGGGGUCUACUAUCGUAUAGGACCACACCUUCGAGUGUGUGCAGGAAAGCUUCUCGGUUUGCGCUGAGCGCUGGGCCUAUCUGCUUGUUGGUGGGUUAAUGGCCUACCAAGGCGUCGGCGGGUGGCCGGCAUGAGAGGGUGUACGGCGACAUUGGGACUGAGAUACGGACCAGACUCCUACGGGAGGCAGCAGUGGGGAAUAUUGCCCAAUGGGAGCAAGUGUGAUGCAGAGACGCCGCGUGGGGGAUGACGGCCUUCGGGUUGUAAAAUGCUUUCGCUAGGGACGACGCGGAAGUGACGGUACCUAGAGAAGAAGCACCGGCUAACUACGUG